CACCGCUACAAUGUGUUGCUCAGAGGCAAUGACUUAGCAGUUGUUUCGUGUGGAACUGUGGAAGAAAGAAUAGUUUAAACACAUGCCACGUGUCUCUGAGGUCUGGGUGAGGUGGACAUUUCAGAAGCUCGUACUACUGCAGUUUGGGGUCGAAGGAGACCUUUAUUCACCCCGUGGAGCUGUGUAAGGCACUGUUUACUAUGGAUGGAUGUGCUUUAUUGGACUUCUUUUGGACUGUUGAACAAAAACACCCGCCCACUGCCAUUAUAAAACUUGGAGGAACCAGGAC